UACAGAGGGUGCAAGCGUUGUUCGGAAUUAUUGGGCCUAAAGCAUCCGUAGCCGGUUCUACAAGUCUUCCGUUAAAUCCACCUGCUUAACAGAUGGGCUGCGGAAGAUACUAUAGAGCUAGGAGGCGGGAGAGGCAAGCGGUACUCGAUGGGUAGGGGUAAAAUCCGUUGAUCCAUUGAAGACCACCAGUGGCGAAGGCGGCUUGCCAGAACGCGCUCGACGGUGAGGGAUGAAAGCUGGGGGAGCAAACCGG
rnacentral:rRNA from 1 species